rnacentral:rRNA from 1 species
CUCUGAUGGUAGGAGAGCGUUCUGUAGGCCGUUGAAGGUGUCUGGUAACGGAUGCUGGAGGUAUCAGAAGUGCGAAUGCUGACAUGAGUAGCGAUAAAGGGCGUGAAAAGCGCCCUCGCCGAAAGCCCAAGGUUUCCUGCGCAACGUUCGUCGGCGCAGGGUGAGUCGGCCCCUAAGGCGAGGCAGAAAUGCGUAGUCGAUGGGAAACUGGUUAAUAGUCCAGUACCUCUUUGUAAUGCGAUGGGGGGACGGAGAAGGUUAGGUCAGCCGGGUGUUGGAUGUCCCGGUUCAAGCGUGUAGUCGUGCCCGGUAGGCAAAUCCGCUGGGCUAAGAUGAGGCGUGAUAACGAGUGGUCUUGUACCGCGAAGUGAUUGAUACCCUGCUUCCAAGAAAAGCCUCUAAGCUUCAGCUAUGAAGAGACCGUACCGCAAACCGACACAGGUGGGCAGGAUGAGAAUUCUAAGGCGCUUGAGAGAACUCAGGAGAAGGAACUCGGCAAAUUAGCACCGUAACUUCGGGAGAAGGUGCGCCCUGGUAGGUUGUAGCCCCUCGCGGGCGAAGGCCGAAGGGGUUGCAGUGAAAUGGUGGCUGCGACUGUUUAAUAAAAACACAGCACUCUGCAAACACGAAAGUGGACGUAUAGGGUGUGACGCCUGCCCGGUGCCGGAAGGUUAAGUGAUGGGGUGCAAGCUCUUGAUCGAAGCCCCGGUAAACGGCGGCCGUAACAAUAACGGUCCUAAGGUAGCGAAAUUCCUUGUCGGGUAAGUUCCGACCUGCACGAAUGGCGUAACGAUGGCCACACUGUCUCCUCCUGAGACUCAGCGAAGUUGAAAUGUUUGUGAAGAUGCAAUCUCCCCGCGGCAAGACGGAAAGACCCCAUGAACCUUUACUGUAGCUUUGCAUUGGACUUUGAACCGGUCUGUGUAGGAUAGGUGGGAGGCUUUGAAGCGUGGACGCUAGUUCGCGUGGAGCCAACCUUGAAAUACCACCCUGGUUUGUUUGAGGUUCUAACCAUGGCCCGUGAAUCCGGGUCUGGGACCGUGCAUGGUAGGCAGUUUGACUGGGGCGGUCUCCUCCCAAAGUGUAACGGAGGAGUACGAAGGUACGCUAGGUACGGUCGGACAUCGUGCUAUUAGUGCAAUGGCAUAAGCGUGCUUGACUGCGAGACCCACAAGUCGAGCAGGUACGAAAGUAGGUCAUAGUGAUCCGGUGGUUCUGUAUGGAAGGGCCAUCGCUCAACGGAUAAAAGGUACUCUGGGGAUAACAGGCUGAUACCGCCCAAGAGUUCAUAUCGACGGCGGUGUUUGGCACCUCGAUGUCGGCUCAUCACAUCCUGGGGCUGUAGCCGGUCCCAAGGGUAUGGCUGUUCGCCAUUUAAAGUGGUACGUGAGCUGGGUUUAAAACGUCGUGAGACAGUUUGGUCCCUAUCUGCCGUGGGCGCUGGAAAUUUGAAGGGACCUGCUCCUAGUACGAGAGGACCGGAGUGGACGAACCUCUGGUGUACGGGUUAUGACGCCAGUCGUAUCGCCGGGUAGCUAAGUUCGGAAGAGAUAAACGCUGAAAGCAUCUAAGCGUGAAACUCGCCUUAAGAUAAGAUUUCCCCGGGGACUCGAUCCCCCUGAAGGGUCGUUGAAGACCACAACGUUGAUAGGUCAGGUGUGGAAGCGCAGCAAUGCGUUAAGCUAACUGAUACUAAUUGCCCGUGUGGCUUGAUCCG